rnacentral:pre_miRNA from 1 species
UAUAAUUGACACCGUUGACUUUUUCUCACAUGUUUGACUAUUCGUCUUAUUUAAAAAAAUUUACGUAAUUAUAAUUUAUUUUAUGAGUUGUUUUAUCAUUCAUAGUACUUUAAGUGUGAUUUAUAUCUUAUACAUUUGUAUAAAAUUUUUGAAUAAGACGAAUAGUCAAGCAUGAAAGAAAAAGUCAACGGCGUCAUCUAUU